rnacentral:rRNA from 1 species
GACGUAGGGUGCAAGCGUUGUCCGGAUUUAUUGGGCGUAAAGAGCUCGUAGGCGGCUUGUUGCGUCGACUGUGAAAACCCGCGGCUUAACCGCGGGCUUGCAGUUGAUACGGGCAGGCUAGAGUUCGGUAGGGGAGACUGGAAUUCCUGGUGUAGCGGUGAAAUGCGCAGAUAUCAGGAGGAACACCGGUGGCGAAGGCGGGUCUCUGGGCCGAUACUGACGUGAGGAGCGAAAGCGUGGGGAGCGAACAGG